rnacentral:rRNA from 1 species
ACUCCUACGGGAGGCAGCAGUGGGGAAUUUUGGACAAUGGGCGAAAGCCUGAUCCAGCAAUGCCGCGUGCAGGAUGUAGGCCUUCGGGUUGUAAACUGCUUUUGUACGGAACGAAAAAGCCUCUCCUAAUACGAGAGGCCCAUGACGGUACCGUAAGAAUAAGCACCGGCUAACUACGUGCCAGCAGCCGCGGUAAUACGUAGGGUGCGAGCGUUAAUCGGAAUUACUAGGCGUAAAGCGUGCGCAGGCGGUUAUGUAAGACAGAUGUGAAAUCCCCGGGCUCAACCUGGGAACUACAUUUGUGACUGCAUGGCUAGAGUACGGUAGAGGGGGAUGGAAUUCCGCGUGUAGCAGUGAAAUGCGUAGAUAUGCGGAGGARCACCGAUGGCGAAGGCAAUCCCCUGGACCUGUACUGACGCUCAUGCACGAAAGCGUGGGGGGCAAACAGGAUUAKAUAYCCUGGUAGUCCACGCCCUAAACGAUGUCRACUGGUUGUUGGGAAUUAGUUUUCUCAGUAACGAAKCUMACGCGUGAAGUUGACCGCCUGGGGAGUACGGCCGCAAGGUUGAARCUCAAAUGAAUUGACGG